GUCUAAUCUGCCCACUGUGUAAUAAAGGGCCGCAGUAAUUUGACUGUGCGAAGGUAGCAUAAUAAUUAGUUUUUUAAUUGAAAGCUUGAAUGAAUGAUUGGACGAGAAUAAAACUGUCUUAAUUUUAAAAAGUUAGAAUUUAAAUUUUAAGUAAAAAUGCUUAAAUAUUAAUUAAAGACGAGAAGACCCUAUAGAUUUUUAUAUUUUGAUUUAAUUAAAUUAAUAGAAUUUGUUUUUUUAUUAAAGUAAAAAUAUUUAAUUGGGGUGAUUAAAAAAUUUAAAUAACUUUUUUAUUAUAAAAACAAAUUUUUUUGAAUAUAUGAUCCUUUAAAAAGAUUAAUAGAUUAAAUUACCUUAGGGAUAACAGCGUAAUGUUUCUGAAUAGUUCUUAUUGAUAGAAAAGAUUGCGACCUCGAUGUUGGAUUAAGAUUUAAUUUUGAUGAAGAAGUUAAUAAUUUAAGUCUGUUCGACUUUUAAAAUCUUACAUGAUC
rnacentral:rRNA from 1 species